rnacentral:rRNA from 1 species
AGAGUUUGAUCCUGGCUCAGGAUGAACGCUAGCUACAGGCUUAACACAUGCAAGUCGAGGGGCAGCAUGUUGGUUGCUUGCAAUCAACGAUGGCGACCGGCGCACGGGUGAGUAACGCGUAUCGAACCUGCCUCAUACUCGGGAACAGCCUUGCGAAAGUAAGAUUAAUGCCCGAUGUUCUUCAUUUUCCGCAUGAGAGAUGAAGCAAAGAUUUAUCGGUAUGAGAUGGCGAUGCGUCCCAUUAGCUUGUUGGCGGGGUAACGGCCCACCAAGGCAUCGAUGGGUAGGGGUUCUGAGAGGAAGGUCCCCCACAUUGGAACUGAGACACGGUCCAAACUCCUACGGGAGGCAGCAGUGAGGAAUAUUGGUCAAUGGACGGAAGUCUGAACCAGCCAAGUAGCGUGCAGGAAGACGGCCCUAUGGGUUGUAAACUGCUUUUAUAAGGGAAUAAAGUGAGUCUCGUGAGACUUUUUGCAUGUACCUUAUGAAUAAGGACCGGCUAAUUCCGUGCCAGCAGCCGCGGUAAUACGGAAGGUCCAGGCGUUAUCCGGAUUUAUUGGGUUUAAAGGGAGCGCAGGCGGACCUUUAAGUCAGCUGUGAAAUACGGCGGCUCAACCGUCGAACUGCAGUUGAUACUGGAGGUCUUGAGUGCACACAGGGAUACUGGAAUUCAUGGUGUAGCGGUGAAAUGCUCAGAUAUCAUGAAGAACUCCAAUCGCGAAGGCAGGUAUCCGGGGUGCAACUGACGCUGAGGCUCGAAAGUGCGGGUAUCAAACAGGAUUAGAUACCCUGGUAGUCCGCACAGUAAACGAUGAAUACUCGCGGUUUGCGAUAUACAGUAAGCCGCCAAGCGAAAGCGUUAAGUAUUCCACCUGGGGAGUACGCCGGCAACGGUGAAACUCAAAGGAAUUGACGGGGGCCCG